GAUCUUCCAUUGCUUCUCAGUGUGGCUCAAUGCUACCUGGUAAUAGUUUUCAUGGCAACACAGGGCAGAGCUCUUCCUCACCAUACACUGUCACUGUCAACCAGACCACCUACCAGCCAGGAGACACCAUCCAAGUGAAUCUGUCAGGAACCAUCACCUAUAAAGGGUUUCUUCUGGAGGCCCAUGAGGAAGGACAGAACACCGCUGUGGGAACGUUCUCUCUCGGCAGUGGGACUGGGAUCGUUCUUGUGCCUUGCAAUGGGAUCACAGCCUCUGGGGUGAGUCAAAGCAACAACCAGGCUAAAUCAUCAGUAACAGUCACCUGGACAGCACCAGCCUCAGCCUCCUUGGGCAACAUUGUAGUCAAGUGAGUCUCAGGACAACAUUUAUGCAGACCUCCAGGUUAUUUUGGAUUGCAGUGCCUAGCAUGACAGUUAAACCGACGUCCUCAGUUGUCAACACUAUAGGUGCUCCAACCACAGCUCCUACUCCAACAACCACAGCUCCUACUACGACAACCACAACUACAGCUCCUAAUACAACAACCACAACUACAGCUUCUGCUACGACAACCACAGCUUCUAAUACAACAACCACAACUACAGCUUCUACUCCGACAACCACAACUACAGCUUCUAAUACGACAACCACAACCACAGCUCCUACUCCGACAACCACAGCUCCUACUCCGACAACCACAACUACAGCUCCUACUCGACAACCACAACUACAGCUUCUGCUACGACAACCACAGCUUCUAAUACAACAACCACAACUACAGCUUCUACUCCGACAACCACAACUACAGCUUCUAAUACGACAACCACAACCACAGCUCCUACUCCGACAACCACAGCUCCUACUCCGACAACCACAACUACAGCUCCUACCCGACAACCACAACUACAGCUUCUGCUACGACAACCACAGCUUCUAAUACAACAACCACAACUACAGCUUCUAAUACGACAACCACAACUACAGCUCUACUCCAACAACUACAGCUCCUACUCCAACAACUACAGCUCCUACUCCACAACUACAGCUCCUACUAUGACAACGACAACUACAGCUCCUACUCCGACAACCACAGCUUCUAAUACGACAACCACAACUACAGCUCCUACUCCGACAACCACAGCUUCUAAACAACAACCACAACUACAGCUCCUACUCCGACAACUACAGCUCCUACU